GGGGAGCAAAAUAAAUUAGCAAAAACACGAGAAAACAAAACACUCUUCGCAUCAUAUUUUGCGCGAUAAUUCUCUUCAGGCUUCUGUCACUGGUUUGUGAUAAUUGAAUCUUUGAAAAUCCAGUGAUUUUGCAUCCUCGAAUGUAAAGUUGAAGUUUUGCAACCUCAAUUUGCAGAAAAUACCGAACUUUUUUAAGCCAAUCAGCUAAGCUUUGAAAAUCCAGUAAGUUCAAAGCAUUGAAUGUCGAGUUGAAGUUUGGAAUCUCGCUCUCUGCAGAAAACACAGAAUUUUUACUUCAAUCACCGAAGAUAAGCGUCGAAAAUCCAGUAAUUUCACAGCCUUGAAUGAUAAGUUGAAGUUUCGUACCUUGUUUGCAGAAAAUACAGAUUGCUUGAAUUCAAUCAGCGAACAUAAGCGUGCAGGGGGAAAGGAUGAAGAGUAAUGAAGCAAAGAUGUCGAGGAUGGAAGACAUACUAAACCUACCGGUUCAAGAUCCUCCUUAUUCCGAGUUUUCUGCAGCUCAUUUCAAUUGGUUUAAAGUCGAAGGUGGUCGACAAGGUGGUGAUGAUAUUGCACUGAUUCCCUUUUCUAGAGUGGAUGAUUUUGUGAAAGGUGAAUCCAGCAAUGCAGACUGCCCUGCUAGCUUUCGUGUCGAAUCAAGAAGGAAGAGACCCGAGGGGAGUCUUAGCAGACCAAGAGUCGAUGGCUAUCUUGAGUAUACAUUGUACUGGUGUUCUUAUGGUCCUGAAGACUACAGGGAUUCUGAACCUCAUAUAGGUGAAAACUCGAGCAUCAAACCUGCUUCGGGUAAGGGAAGUAGGCCAGGGAGAAGGCACAUGAUGCGGGGAUGUCUUUGUCACUUCACUGUUAAACGUUUAUACACCCGGCCUCUACUUGCUCUCAUCAUAUACAAUCAGAGAAAUCAUGUGGAUAAAACAGGAGCUCCCUGCCAUGGGAUACUUGAUCAAGAAUCUGUGGGAACUAGAGCUAUGUAUGCUCCUCGAAUAUCAGAGGAACUUCGUCAAAAGGUGAUGGCCAUGCUUCAUGUUGGAGUAUCCUUGGAUACAAUAGUCCAGCAUCACAUGGAAGAGGUGCAGAGGCAUGGGGGUCCCCAUAUCCGUGAUGAUUUCCUGGCACGCAAUGAUGUCCGUAACAUGGAAAGGCUUAUACGCAAUGCCUGCCAUGAGUUGCAUUCCAAUGUUGAAUGCAGUGUGAAGAUGUGGGUACAACGCCACCAUAAGCAUGUGUUUUACUUCGAGGAGAGUUCUGGUUCUGAAACUUUUGUAUUAGGAUUACAGUCCGAUUGGCAGCUGCAGCAGAUGCUUCGCUAUGGACAUAGUGGAUCCAUAGCUUUUCAUACUGCAUCUGGAUCUAAGAGACUUAAGGAUACUUUAUGCUCUCUACUGGCAUUCGAUUCGUCACAUAAUGCAGUUCCAGUUGCCUGGAUUAUUACUUCCUCUUCUCAUGGUAAUAAUAAUACGCACAAAUGGAUGCUGUCCCUCGUUGAGAGACUACGUGGCAAGGACACAAGAUGGAGACCCCAUGCAAUUAUAGUGGAUGAUCCCUCUUUUCAGCUCUCGGUUAUUCGUGAAGCUUUCCAAUGUCGAAUUCUAUUAUGCCUCUGGCAUGUUCGUCGUGGUUGGCUUAAAAGCCUAUUAAAACACUGUCACAAUUUUGAUGCUCAAAGAGAGAUGUUUAAGCACCUAGGCAGGAUAUUGUAUAGCGCAGGGAAUGUGUCGAGCACUGCAGUUGCGGUUGAAGAGUUCCUGCAAAUAUAUGUUGAUCAGUCUGAAUUUGUAGAGUAUUUCAGAAGUAAAUGGCUGCCAAAAUUAGAUUUAUGGUUCAAUUGUGUCGGGACUCUCCCAGUGGCAGGGCUAGAGCAUUAUGCUUCAAUAGAAUCCUAUCACCUGCGAUUAAAAUCGAGGGUCCUCUCUUUGUUGGUGGAAAAGUCACACAGAAUUGAUUUGUUGAUUCAUGCGUUGACAACCCAAUUUCACUCCUUCUACUGGUUCGACACAUAUAUAGUGGAGACGGGGUAUUUUGAAAAUCUAAGGGAUAGAUUCAGUUUAACCAACCCAUGGUAUCAGGCAGAGCAUAUCUCGGAUAUGGAUGUCCUGCUGGAUGAGGAAAAUCUCCAGUUUGCAAAAGUUGUUUCUCAGGCAGAUAGUAGCAUGGCUUAUACGUUAUGGAAUCCUGGUUCUGAGUUCGGGUUGUGUGAUUGCUCCUGGUCAAUGGUGGGUAAUAUGUGUAAACACACAAUCAAGGUGGCAAUUUACUGCCGUAGUCGGCAGAUUGCGAGGCCAUUAUUGUCUGCUCAAGUUUAUAUGGAAACCUUGCUUAGCCUGCUACAGAACCUUCCAGAUGACCCUCUAGUUCUUGGACAUGCAAUUUCACUCGUGAAUCGCAUGAAACAAGACAUCAAAAACAUGGAGGAUUUGUCGAAUUGUGGGUUGUUACAGCCAGUGUCUUCAGGGACAAACUCCAUAUUGGCAGAAAAUAUUCAGCCUUUGCCACGGAUCAAUUGAUCUGGAUUACUUAUGCAGGUCUUGCUUCCAAGUUCCAAUUCCAUAAAUUUUGGCUGAAACUGAAGCGUAAAAUGUGUGACCCCCCUUUUGGUAGAUUCUAGCUUUUAAAUGGAACGAUCUGAAGAUUGAAUCUCAUUGUCUCAGGGAUAAAUAGAAACACAAGUUGUUCUAGUGGUGGUGGGAUAGCUUCUUAACAAGAAAGUGAAUGUGUGGAGUCUGAAAAUGGAGGUAAUCAAGGUUUCGGUGGUG